UCCUACGGGGGGCAGCAGUGGGGAAUAUUGCACAAUGGGGGAAACCCUGGUGCAGCAACGCCGCGUGAAGGAAGACGGUUUUCGGAUUGUAAACUUCUGUUCUUAGUGAAGAAGAAUGACGGUAGCUAAGGAGCAAGCCCCGGCUAACUACGUGCCAGCAGCCGCGGUAAUACGUAGGGGGCAAGCGUUAUCCGGAUUUACUGGGUGUAAAGGGAGCGUAGGCGGCGAUGCAAGUCAGAAGUGAAAGCCCGGGGCUCAACUCCGGGACUGCUUUUGAAACUGUGUUGCUAGAUUGCAGGAGAGGU
rnacentral:rRNA from 1 species